rnacentral:rRNA from 1 species
UACGGAGGGUGCGAGCGUUGUCCGGAAUCACUGGGCGUAAAGGGCGCGUAGGUGGCGCAGGAAGUCAACGGUGAAAGUCCGGGGCUCAACUCCGGAUCUGCGGUGGGUACGGGCAGACUAGAGUGCAGUAGGGGAGACUGGAAUUCCUGGUGUAGCGGUGAAAUGCGCAGAUAUCAGGAGGAACACCGAUGGCGAAGGCAGGUCUCUGGGCUGUAACUGACGCUGAGGCACGAAAGCCAGGGGAGCAAACGGG